rnacentral:lncRNA from 1 species
GCAUACGAAAGUAGGUCUAAAAAAAUAUUCCCUUGAAUUUGACAGUUGUAGAAAAUUAACCCUGCAUUUCAAUGCACUUAAUUUUUUCUGAGUCAUAAACAUGUAUGUUGGGUGUCUGAAAGCAUCAUUCUUUGUUUAUUUGAUGGUCUUAUAAAAUAUUUUGGAAAGUUAAGGUUACAUAGUUACCAAAGCAGGUAACCAGUAAAUAAUAGUGUAAAAAUUGGGUUGUUUACUUCCGGUGCUGGUUACUUUCUUAUAUGCAAUGAAAUGUAGUGUGAAAUUUUCACUGUAGCACUGGACAGGAUUAAACUUUAUUCAUGCAAAGUAUUUCUUUGGUUGAAAUAAAGGUAAAUACUGUACAUUUUUUUUAAAAGUGCCAAUUUAACAAAGACUAAUAGGGGAAAAUCAAUGGUGGUAUUACACC